rnacentral:lncRNA from 1 species
GCCUGAAAAGAUAAACAUGAAUUUAGAUUCCAUUCAUCGGUUAAUCGAGGAAACACACCUCUUCGGCAUGCAGCAGUCGGGGUUGGUGAGAUCAUCGUGCGACCUGGCGGCACCUGCCCCGGCCCGCGGGGACCCCCGCAGCUCCUGUCCGUCUCCUCUCGGGCCGCAGUCUCCUGCCGCCCUCAGUGGCCAUGCUCCCUCCUGGAGCACCAGCGAGUGGGAUAUCGGCGCUGAGCUUCGCCUGCGGGAGCUGGAGGAGGUCAAGGCCCGCGCCGCUCAGAUGGAGAAGACCAUGCGGUGGUGGUCGGACUGCACUGCUAACUGGAGGGAAAAGUGGAGUAAAGUUCGAGCCGAAAGGAACAGCGCCAGGGAGGAAGGCAGGCAACUCAGAAUCAAGUUAGACAUGGCCGUGAAAGAGCUGAGUGCUCUGAAAAAGAAGCAGCCUUUGCCUCAUCCGGCGGAGGCCACCCAGGACCGAAAGCUUCCUGGUUUCCCCGAAGUGGCCCGUGCACAGAGAGACCCAUUGCAAAUUGGUUCCAAAACGUGUGAGUCCAUCAGAGAGUGUUUGGGAAAAAGAGAAUUUCCCACCAAGGAGAACGCAAAUAGUAAGGAAGGGAGUUUAAUUAUUGACCCAUUAAAAUUAAGUGAGGGGAUGAAACUCAGUCUAGACUGUCCUGAUUUAUUCAAGAAUGGCAUUUCUGAAAAUUGUACAGUGAGACCUGGAUUAAGACUGCAGGCAAUAAAUCUGCCUCUGGAGAAUGAAGUGCCUGAAAUUUCAGCUUUGCAGGGGCAUUUGGAUGAUUUCCAAAAAGUCUUAUGGAAAGAAAGGGAAAUGCGCUUAUCUUUGGAAAAAGAGAUAGAACGACUGGAGUCGGCUUUGUCUGUGUGGAAAUGGAAGUAUGAAGAACUGAAAGAAUCAAAGGCAAAAAGUCUGAAACAGUUUGACAUUCUUCAUGGUCAACAUAAAAAUGAAAUGGAAGAAGUAUCAGGACUUAUAAGGGAAGAAUCAAAAUCUCAAAACAGCAAUGACAGAGUGGUCUAUGAGUUAAGAGCAGAGCUAGAGAGAUUGCAGGCUGAAAAUACAUCUGAGUGGGACAAGAGGGAGCUACUUGAAAAGGAAAAACAAGGACUGGAGAGAGAAAAUAGAAGGUUAAAGGUCCAGGUGAAAGAAAUGGAAGAACUCCUGCACAGGAGAAAUAGAUUAAGUGAAAACUCGGAAGGUCCUGAUUUCAAGACAUCAGGAGUCGAGCCACAGGAAAAAAACAAGGAACUGGUGGACCUUCAGCAUGCCUACUGUAAGCUAAGCAGACAGUACCAGGCAAAGACAGCAGAACUGACUCGCGCCAACAACCUCGUGGAUCAAAAUGAAGCCGAAGUGAAGAAACUGAGACUUCAAGUCGAAGAACUAAAAUGGGGACUCAACCAAAAAGAAGACAAGCUUGAUGAUUUCCUGAAUCAGAUCCAUAAGCUCCAGAGAUCUUUGAAUGAACAGAAAGAAACAAAUGGAAACUUGGAAGUUAAACUCAGGCAGUUACAAAAUUGUGACUUCUAAAGACAAGAGAAAUGGCCUUGAAUUCAAGGAGGUAAUUUCAUGGACCCAUGAAUUCCCACAAAUAUUUUCAUUGAGGGGCCAAUGGUGUGUGGUGGAUUUUAUUAGCACUAUAUUUACAGAUCUAGUGACUGCAGCCAUGAAAUUAAAAGGCGCUUUCUCCUUGGAAGAAAAGUUAUGACCGACCUAGAUAGCAUAUUCAAAAGCAGAGACAUUACUUUGCCAACUAAGGUCCGUCUAGUCAAGGCUUUGGUUUUUCCUGUGGUCAUGUAUGGAUGUGAGAGUUGGACUGUGAAGAAGGCUGAGCGCCGAAGAAUUGAUGCUUUUGAAAUGUGGUGUUGGAGAAGACUCUUGAGAGUCCCUUGGACUGCAAGGAGAUCCAACCAGUCCAUUCUGAAGGAGAUCAGCCCUGGGAUUUCUUUGGAAGGAAUGAUGCUAAAACUGAAACUCCAGUACUUUGGCCACCUCAUGUGAAGAAUUAACUCAUUGGAAAAGACUGUGAUGCUGGGAGGGAUUGGGGGCAGGAGGAGAAGGGAACGACAGAGGAUGAGAUGACUGGAUGGCAUCACUGACUCGAUGGCCGUGAGUCUGAGUGAAUUUUGGGAGUUGGUGAUGGACAGGGAAGCCUGGCAUGCUGCGA